rnacentral:rRNA from 1 species
CCCUUAGAUGGUCUGGGCCGCACGCGCGCUACACUGAUGCAUUCAACGAGCCUAUCCUUGACCGACAGGUCCGGGUAAUCUUUGAAUCUGCAUCGUGACGGGGAUAGAUUAUUGCAAUUAUUAAUCUUCAACGAGGAAUGCCUAGUAGGCGCAAGUCAUCAGCUUGCGUCGAUUACGUCCCUGCCCUUUGUACACACCGCCCGUCGCUCCUACCGAUUGGGUGUGCUGGUGAAAUGUUCGGAUCGGCCGUUUGUCGCGGUUUCCGCGGCUCGUGGCUGAGAAGUUCAUUAAACCCUCCCACCUAGAGGAAGGAGAAGUCGUAACA